rnacentral:rRNA from 1 species
UACGUAGGGGGCAAGCGUUGUCCGGAUUUAUUGGGCGUAAAGAGCGUGUAGGCGGCUAGGUAGGUCCGUUGUGAAAACUCGAGGCUCAACCUCGAGACGCCGAUGGAAACCAUCUGGCUAGAGUCCGGAAGAGGAGAGUGGAAUUCCUGGUGUAGCGGUGAAAUGCGUAGAUAUCUGGAGGAACACCGGUGGCGAAGGCGGCAUCCUGGACCGACACUGACGCUGAGGAGCGAAAGCCAGGGGAGCAAACGGG